GAUAAUUGACUGAUCUUCCCCAAGAGCCCACAUAGACGGGAAGGUUCGGCACCUCGAUGUUGGCUCUUCGCCACCUAGGGCUGUUGUAUGUUCCAAGGGUUGGGCUUUUCGCCCAUUAAAGAGGUACAUGAGCUGGGUUCAGAACGUCGUGAGACAUUUC
rnacentral:ncRNA from 1 species